UCUGGCUUGCUGAUAGUUUUAUCUUGCAGCAUUAUUCUGAACGUUGCUCUCAUUUGUAUAAGAUGUAAACUGACCUGUACACACUGUGCAGAUGAAAAGAACAGUGAUAUAUCAAAAGUGGAAUGGUCACGCAAGCAAUGCCAUGACGAGGACACACUGAAUUACGCUGCCCUGAACCUUAAGAAGCCAAAACCCAGGAGACAGAAGAAAGACGGGAAUAAUGACACUCUGUAUUCUGACCUCCGCUACAGAGAUUAUGAAUAAAGAUGCUUCUCAUUCAUGUCAGUCACACAGAGUGUUCAGGGUGUAGCUUUAAUAAUGUUCAGAGGAGGGCAGGGGAGCCAGUGCUUCUGAGACUGAAUCACGGGAUUUUACGGAGCACCGGUGCUGAGUUUGGUGUCAGUGUGUUUGGGGCGCAUUUUUAC